ACUCAAAGGAAUAGACGGGGGCCCGCACAAGCGGAGGAACAUGUGGUUUAAUUCGAUGAUACGCGAGGAACCUUACCCGGGCUUGAAAUGCAGAGGAAUAUAGUGGAAACAUUAUCGCCAGCAAUGGUCUCUGUGUAGGUGCUGCAUGGUUGUCGUCAGCUCGUGCCGUGAGGUGUCGGCUUAAGUGCCAUAACGAGCGCAACCCUUAUCAUUAGUUACUAACAGGUUAAGCUGAGGACUCUAAUGAGACUGCCACCGUAAGGUGCGAGGAAGGUGGGGAUGACGUCAAAUCAGCACGGCCCUUACGUCCGGGGCGACACACGUGUUACAAUGGGGGGUACAGAGGGUUGCUACUUGGUGACAAGAUGCUAAUCUCAUAAAACCUCUCUCAGUUCGGAUCGAAGUCUGCAACUCGACUUCGUGAAGCUGGAUUCGCUAGUAAUCGCGCAUCAGCCAUGGCGCGGUGAAUACGUUCCCGGGCCUUGCACACACCGCCCGU
rnacentral:rRNA from 1 species